rnacentral:rRNA from 1 species
GAUGAACGCUGGCGGCGUGCCUAAUACAUGCAAGUCGAGCGAACAGAUGAGGAGCUUGCUCCUCUGACGUUAGCGGCGGACGGGUGAGUAACACGUGGAUAACCUACCUAUAAGACUGGGAUAACUUCGGGAAACCGGCGCUAAUACCGGAUAAUAUAUUGAACCGCAUGGUUCAAUAGUGAAAGACGGUUUUGCUGUCACUUAUAGAUGGAUCCGCGCCGCAUUAGCUAGUUGGUAAGGUAACGGCUUACCAAGGCAACGAUGCGUAGCCGACCUGAGAGGGUGAUCGGCCACACUGGAACUGAGACACGGUCCAGACUCCUAAGGGAGGCAGCAGUAGGGAAUCGGCCGCAAUGGGCGAAAGCCUGACGGAGCAACGCCGCGUGAGUGAUGAAGGUCUUCGGAUCGUAAAACUCUGUUAUUAGGGAAGAACAAAUGUGUAAGUAACUAUGCACGUCGUGACGGUACCUAAUCAGAAAGCCACGGCUAACUACGUG